rnacentral:rRNA from 1 species
GAUGAACGCUGGCGGCAUGCCUAAUACAUGCAAGUCGAACGGAUAUCUUCGGAUAUGAGUGGCGAACGGGUGAGUAACACGUAGGGAACCUGCCUGCAUGAGCGGGAGAACUUCUGGAAACGGAAGCUGAUACCGGAUGAGCAAAGAGGAGGCAUCUUCUUUUUGGAAAAGGGGACAAGAGUCCCGCAUGCAGAUGGACCUGCGGUGCAUUAGCUGGUUGGAGAGGUAACGGCUCACCAAGGCGACGAUGCAUAGCCGGCCUGAGAGGGCGGACGGCCACACUGGGACUGAGACACGGCCCAGACUCCUGCGGGAGGCAGCAGUAGGGAAUUUUCGUCAAUGGGGGGAACCCUGAACGAGCAAUGCCGCGUGAGCGAGGAAGGUCUUCGGAUCGUAAAGCUCUGUUGCCGGGGACAAAAGGGCAGAAAGAGUGGAAAGCUUUCUGAGUGAUGGUACCCGGCGAGGAAGUCACGGCUAACUACGUGCCAGCC